UUCCUUUCAUACAUGGACUCCAAUUUCUGCCAGAGAGCAUAGGAUUUGGUUUCUGUGACAACAUGAUGAAACAUACUUUGAUCAAUCCACGAUCUGAUCAGACCAAUAUUUUUCUUUUUCAUCUUGUCCCACUGUGCGUAACUCUUGUUUGUGGACUUAACUCCAUCGUUCUCAAGUGCCUUGUACUAAUCCUUGCAGUAAAGCAAAUCUUCCAUUCUUGACUUCCAAAUUGCAUAAUUUGUAGCCUUGAGAUUAAUCAUGCAACCUGUUGUCCAAUCUCCAUUUAAUUCGCACAAGAAAACCACAAAAAUAAUUAAGCUCUGAUACCACUGUUGGGAAAAGUACCCCUAAAAUAAUAUCUACCAAAAGAAUUAAUUUUUUGUUUUUGUGCAAUUAAAUAUAAAAUCAACAAAACCAAUUAUGAGAACGAAAAUAACAAAUAACCACUCACAAGCAAGACACCAAAUUUACGUGAAAAACCCUAUAAAACUAAGAGGUAAAAAUCACGGGUCAAACUCCGAAAAAUCCACUAUAAUCAACUGUGAGUAAAAAUAGUUCUUCUAAGUUUUAUAACUAAAAACUUGAAAUAUUAUAAAAUUGAGAUAAUACAAGAAUACCUUAAUUUGAGUGAAAACUCAAAUUACCUUACCA
rnacentral:lncRNA from 1 species